rnacentral:rRNA from 2 species
GCGCAACCUUGUUACUAGUUGCCAGCAUUAAGUUGGGCACUCUAGUGAGACUGCCGGUGACAAACCGGAGGAAGGUGGGGACGACGUCAGAUCAUCAUGCCCCUUAUGACCUGGGCUACACACGUGCUACAAUGGACGGUACAACGAGUCGCAAGCUCGCGAGAGUAAGCUAAUCUCUUAAAGCCGUUCUCAGUUCGGACUGUAGGCUGCAACUCGCCUACACGAAGUCGGAAUCGCUAGUAAUCGCGGAUCAGCAUGCCGCGGUGAAUACGUUCCCGGGCCUUGUACACACCGCCCGUCACACCAUGGGAGUUUGUAACGCCCAAAGUCGGUGGCCUAACCAUUAUGGAGGGAGCCGCCUAAGGCGGGACAGAUGACUGGGGUGAAUUCGUACA